rnacentral:piRNA from 1 species
UUUCAUGUUGUGCUGAAGUUAUGGUU